rnacentral:lncRNA from 1 species
AGAUCUAUGUAGUGUCUAGUGUCCCAGCCAGGUGAACCUACCUCAAGAUCUAUGUAGUGUCUAGUGUCCCAGCCAGGUGAACCUACCUCAAGAUCUAUGUCUGUGUCUAGUGUCCCCGCCGGUGAACCUACCUCUAUAUCUAUGUAGUGUCCCAGCCAGGUGAACCUACCUCUAGAAUAUGUAGUGUCUAGUGUCCCAGCCAGGUGAACCUACCUCUAGAUCUAUGUAGUAGUGUCUAG